GACGAACGCUGGCGGCGUGCCUAAUACAUGCAAGUCGAGCGCAGGAAAUCGACGGAACCCUUCGGGGGGAAGUCGACGGAAUGAGCGGCGGACGGGUGAGUAACACGUAAAGAACCUGCCCUCAGGUCUGGGAUAACCACGAGAAAUCGGGGCUAAUACCGGAUGGGUCAUCGGGCCGCAUGGUCCGAGGAUGAAAGGCGCUUCGGCGUCGCCUGGGGAUGGCUUUGCGGUGCAUUAGCUAGUUGGUGGGGUAAUGGCCCACCAAGGCGACGAGGCACAGCCGACCUGAGAGGGGGAGCGGCCACACUGGGACUGAGAACCGGGCCAGACUCCUACGGGAGGCAGCAGUAGGGAAUCUUCCACAAUGGACGAAAGUCUGAUGGAGCAACGCCGCGUGAACGAUGAAGGCCUUCGGGUCGUAAAGUUCUGUUGUAAGGGAAGAACAAGUGCCGCAGGCAAUGGCGGCACCUUGACGGUACCUUGCGAGAAAGCCACGGCUAACUACGUGCCAGCCGCCGCAGUAA
rnacentral:rRNA from 1 species